UAAGCGGAGGAAAAGAAACUAACAAGGAUUCCCCUAGUAACGGCGAGCGAAGCGGGAAGAGCUCAAAUUUGAAAGCUGGCACCUCCGGUGUCCGCGUUGUAAUCUCGAGACGUGUUUUCCGUGCGGCUCUAUGGACAAGUCCCUUGGAAUAGGGCAUCGUAGAGGGUGAGAAUCCCGUACUUGCCAUGGAAGAACCGUGCUUUGCGAUACACGCUCUAAGAGUCGAGUUGUUUGGGAUUGCAGCUCAAAAUGGGUGGUAGACUCCAUCUAAAGCUAAAUAUCGGGGAGAGACCGAUAGCGAACAAGUACCGUGAGGGAAAGAUGAAAAGCACUUUGGAAAGAGAGUUAAAAGUACGUGAAAAUUGUCGAAAGGGAAGCACUUGAAGUCAGCCAUGCUGCUUGAGACUCAGCCUGGCCUUUGGGCUUGGUGUAUUUCUCGGUGGCAAGCCAGCAUUGGUUUGGGUCGUCGGAGAAGCGCAUAGGGAAUGUAGCGUCUCCGGACGUGUUAUAGCCUUAUGCAGGAUACGACGACCUGGAUCAAGGAACGCAGUGUGCCCUCUGGGCGGGUCUUCGGACACCU
rnacentral:rRNA from 1 species